ensembl:lncRNA
GGCCACAGCCCUGCCUGGCAGCUCCAAGGGAAUAGGUAAACAGAGAGAAGACAAACAUCAACAAGAAAGAGUGUAACUUACAAAGCACAUGUUUCCAGGGAGAAGAAUCCAGAGAAAACAUUAAAUGGUUGUCUGGAGCCCCCACCCAAGAUGAUAAAGAAGUGUCCUUGUUAACCCUGGGGAAGCUGACACUCCACCCCCUUGAUCUUCUUGUUCCAGCCCUGUGACCCCAGGAACCGUCUGCUGCAACUAGCACCCAGGAGCUCGUCUCUCUAUUUCUCACCCCAGCGUCUCUCCUCUGGCCCCUUCAUCUCACCUUCUUCCUUCCCACCCAGCACCCAGACCCUGCACUCAGGCAGGUGGGAGUUGGAGUCCUUGCUGGGUGACCGUGGUCAGGGCCCAACAGGAGACCAACAGCACUUGUGAGAAGAUUAACUGAGGACAGGUCACAUGAGUUAAGAGAGGAUAACUUUAGAGAUGCUGGGAACUUCCUCGCCUGAUCUACCAAAGUCACAGGCAGGAACGAAUCUUUCUCAGAACCCUCCAGAAGACUCCUCUCCACUCCUAUUGGCCAGAAUUGCAUUACAUGUUCAGGCUGAAUCUAUUACUAGCAAGAGGAAGAGUUGCUCACAUUGGCUUAACGUCAUCAAGACCCACGCUCUGGAAGCUGGGGUUGGUCCCAUCUCUCCUGGAUGCACAGGGGCCUCUCUGAGGAGGAGAUAGUGACUGGAAUUGAGGUUUGGUUAGGAAGGAAUGUGGGCUCCUUGCCCCUGGGGGAGGCAACCUAACAGUGCCUGCUGUAGGAACCUACCCACAUACUUGAGAAAGUCUGGCAAGCUUGGAGACCCUGGUAGGACAGAAGAUGAUGGACAAACCAAUAAGCUCAGGGCAGGAUGUCUUUUCAAGGAUGCUGACUUCUGGUCCUCAUUGUCCACACAGGUGAGGGGAGCUCUGUUCUAGGAAACCGGAUGGAGAACGGACAAAGGCUAACCUAGUGAAUGUCCUUUCAGUAUACACUUGCAAAUGUAAAAUAAUUUUAUAUUUUUAUCUGUAUAAAUAUCAAAGUAUAGAUCUAGAAUGGAGUUAAAAGAUGGAGGAGAUUGAAUUCUCAAUGUCAAGCACUCAGGUACUCUCUAGCUGUGCUUUACACUUUCCCGGGUUUCUCGGGAGUGGUCUUCUAGAUACUGACUCAUUAGACAACUAUGUGUCAGAACACUUUUACCAGUUCUUAAUCAGGAACAUGUGGUCCCUGUACCCAUAAGGAGGCCAAGAGCUUUCAAGUGAAGUUUUCACAUCAUCAUAAACUGUCUACAGGUGAAAGGAUGUAUUUACCUUUCUGGGUCACACCCGGUCCUGGCUGGAAGACUGUUAUUUCAUGAAGUCUAGACAUAUUAUUCUCCCCAAGCACACACCUGCACACCGUGUGACUCAACCACCACAGAGCCAGCACACAGCCACCUGGCCUCUCACACCACCCCGCUCUUUGAGUGACUCACAACCUCUUUUUACCCAUUCUUGUCCCUUCUAUCACCUGAGACAGGACUUCUGGACCUUAUGUUGAAGUUUUAGGAGUGAGUUUUUAUAAUAUUUAGGUACAAGCUAGUAAUUUGCCAGGAAUACAGCUUACUGAGACAAAUGAGUGAUCUCUCCAGUCAAAUUGCCAGUCCUUUCCUUAGUAAAGGCAGCAUUUCCUCAUCCCAGGGGCUACUGGAUGGGCUCAAGGGGACAGAUAGCAAAUUCUACCUCAAAAGGGUGAAAAAUGAAACAUCUUAGCUGCAUCCAAAGUCACCAGUGGGGGACAUGAUUGUUAAUUGGAGGCCCUACUGAUGUCAUUUGUUAAACAGAUAAACGUGUCCACCAAUAGUAAGUGACCCGUCCACUGGUAGGUAAGACAAGGUCUGUUGGGUCAAAAUCCUACUUGUGGCAGGCUACUCUUCCUUCAAGGCCCUGACGGUCCUAUCCUUCUACAAAAAUUUCUUCCUGGGGCCCGACCGGGGGCAUAAUGGUCAAGUUUGCAUCCACUGCUUUGGCAGCCCAGGGUUCGCAGGUUCAGAUUCUGGGCGCAGACCUAUACACUGCUCAUCAAGCUAUGCUGUGGCAGCAUCCCACAUACAAAAUAGGGGAGGAUUGGCACAGAUGUUAGCUCAGCGAUAAUCUUCCUCAAGCAAAAAGAGGAAGAUUGGGAACAGAUGUUAUCUCAGGGCCAAUCUUCCUCACCAAAAAAACCCCAGAAAAAUAUCCCACAAAAUUUCUUCCUACUCUCUCAGGGAGGCAGCACCAUAUAGAAGUCAAG